CCCUACGGGAGGCAGCAGUGAGGAAUAUUGGUCAAUGGGCGAGAGCCUGAACCAGCCAAGUCGCGUGAGGGAGUACUGCCCUAUGGGUUGUAAACCUCUUUUGUCGGGGAGCAAACGCCGGACGUGUCCGGCUUUGCGCGUACCCGAAGAAACAGCAUCGGCUAACUCCGUGCCAGCAGCCGCGGUAAUACGGAGGAUGCGAGCGUUAUCCGGAUUUAUUGGGUUUAAAGGGUGCGCAGGCGGAUUUUUAAGUCAGCGGUCAAAUCGUGGGGCUCAACCCCAUCCAGCCGUUGAAACUGGGGAUCUAGAGUGUGCGAGAGGUAUGCGGAAGGCGUGGUGUAGCGGUGAAAUGCAUAGAUAUCACGCAGAACCCCGAUUGCGAAGGCAGCAUACCGGUGCACAACUGACGCUCAGGCACGAAAGCGUGGGUAUCGAACAGGAUUAGAUACCCCUGUAGUC
rnacentral:rRNA from 1 species